CUGGGUGUAGCUUAGCCUGGCGAAAGCGCGUGGUUCGGGACCACGAGACCGCAGGUUCGAAUCCUGCCAUCCAGACCA
rnacentral:tRNA from 1 species